rnacentral:rRNA from 1 species
UACGUAGGGGGCAAGCGUUGUCCGGAAUCAUUGGGCGUAAAGAGCGUGUAGGCGGCCCGGUAAGUCCGCUGUGAAAGUCCAGGGCUCAACCCUGGGAUGCCGGUGGAUACUGUCGGGCUCGAGUCCGGAAGAGGCGAGUGGAAUUCCUGGUGUAGCGGUGAAAUGCGCAGAUAUCAGGAGGAACACCGAUGGCGAAGGCAGCUCCGCUGGGACGGUAACUGACGCUGGAGGCGCGAAAGCGUGGGGAGGCAAACAGGA